CCACAUAAUCUUAGCGAUGCUCUGAUUGGAGGGGAGUGGGGAAGUGGGAGAACCAACUGAAGACAGACUGGCUGGAGGAGCGUGUGGAGUCCAGACACACACUAGGAAGAGCCAGACAGAGCACCCUGAUAUCAACCGCCGACCCGGAGAAGAUUUGAGUUGCCUUUUUCCCCCCUCCCUUUUCCACCCACCUUUAUGAAAUAAAUGUCAUACUUUUGAUUUCACCGC
ensembl:lncRNA